UUUGGCGUGCACUUCUUCCUUAGUAGAACGUCGCGACCCGUUGAAUGUUGAUUUAUGGCCUAAAUGGUUGACUUUGAUUUUGCUUGCAUUGUCGGAGACCUUUAGUGUCCUGAUCAUCUGUUCGACGGUAUUCAAAUGGUAUAAAGUCGCUAUCAUAUGCGUUGAAUUCACUGCAAGUGUUGUUAAUUGUUGGUAGUGCGGAUCUAACGCCGUCACUGACAUUGACUCACUGUUGGCGAGUGUUUUUCUUUAACUGACUUAAUACCGUCAGCGA
rnacentral:rRNA from 1 species